CACGUAGGGGGCGAGCGUUGUCCGGAUUUAUUGGGCGUAAAGAGCUCGUAGGCGGCUCAGUAAGUCAGGUGUGAAAACUCCAGGCUCAACCUGGAGACGCCACCUGAUACUGCUGUGGCUAGAGUCCGGUAGGGGAGCAUGGAAUUCCUGGUGUAGCGGUGAAAUGCGCAGAUAUCAGGAGGAACACCUAUAGCGAAGGCAGCUUGCUGGGACGUUACUGACGCUAAGGCGCGAAAGCGUGGGGAGCGAACAGG
rnacentral:rRNA from 1 species